rnacentral:rRNA from 1 species
UACGGGGGGGGCAAGCGUUGUUCGGAAUUACUGGGCGUAAAGGGCUCGUAGGUGGCCAACUAAGUCGAACGUGAAAUCCCUGGGCUCAACCCAGGAACUGCGUCCGAUACUGGAAGGCUUGAAUCCGGGAGAGGGAUGCGGAAUUCCAGGUGUAGCGGUGAAAUGCGUAGAUAUCUGGAGGAACACCGGUGGCGAAGGCGGCAUCCUGGACCGGUAUUGACGCUGAGGCGCGAAAGCUAGGGGAGCAAACGGG